AUUCAUCCAUCCUCUUGUAAGUCGAUUGCCUCAGGCAUCGCCAUCUACCUGUAAGUCGAUUGCCUCCGGCAUCGCCAUCAUCAAAACUUAACAGAACCAACACGCAUUCAUCCAUCCUCUUGUAAGUCGAUUGCCUCAGGCAUCGCCAUCUACCUGUAAGUCGAUUGCCUCCGGCAUCGCCAUCUACCCUUAUCCGUAACUCCUCUUUGCGCUCCAUCCGUCG
rnacentral:lncRNA from 1 species